GUUUUUAGCCGACGCUACUUUACUGAUUUUGAGAUUCUAGCUCUAGUAGACUUAUGUAAUUUAUUUUUCUAGCUUGGAGAUGUCCCUGAGGGAUUAUGUUGGCUCUUUUUAGCUAAUAAGGGGGUAUGGAUAGGCUGCCCUGAAGCAGCUGUUAGUUGUAUGGUGUAGUUUAAGUUGGAGCAGUGUUGUGAAGGGGUGUUUUAGGCGAC